UACGGGGGGUGCGAGCGUUGUCCGGAAUCACUGGGCGUAAAGGGCGCGUAGGUGGUUUGAUAAGGGUGUGGUGAAAGUCCGGGGCUCAACCCCGGAUCUGCCGUGCCGACUGUCAAACUCGAGGGCUGUAGAGGCAGACGGAAUUCCGGGUGUAGCGGUGGAAUGCGUAGAGAUCCGGAGGAAGACCGGUGGCGAAGGCGGUCUGCUGGGCAGUUUCUGACACUGAUGCGCGACAGCGUGGGAGCAAACAGG
rnacentral:rRNA from 1 species